UACGGAGGGGGCAAGCGUUGCUCGGAAUCACUGGGCGUAAAGGGCGCGUAGGCGGGGAGGUAAGUCGGGUGUGAAAUCCCUCGGCCCAACCGAGGAACUGCGCCCGAGACUGCUUCUCUUGAGUCCCGGAGAGGAAGAUGGAAUUCCAGGUGUAGCGGUGAAAUGCGUAGAUAUCUGGAGGAACACCGGUGGCGAAGGCGGCAUCCUGGACCGGCAUUGACGCUGAGGCGCGAAAGCCAGGGGAGCAAACGGG
rnacentral:rRNA from 1 species